UAUGUCAUUAUUUUAAUGAGUUAUUUCAUUUUAACCAAUUUUCCCUUUAUCUCUUGGUUGGACGACUUUAUUAUUAGGAUGGGUUGGCGUAGCCACUUGGCGAUGGGUUGCUAAUGAUGACAGCUGUGGUAUUUGUCGAAUGGCUUUCGAUGGUUGCUGUCCAGAUUGCAAGAUCCCUGGAGAUGACUGUCCACUAGUGUGGGGUAAGUGUUCCC